UUAGGUUGUUUGGGGAUUCUGAGCAGUG
rnacentral:piRNA from 1 species